rnacentral:lncRNA from 1 species
UGUGUCAAGGCAUGCAGUGUGUGCGUACAACCAGCCAGCUGCCAUGCAUGCCGUAUGAGACACACACAAGACAGCAAGACAGCCAUUCCUAUCAACAGCUACAGGAGCCAGAGCAGAGACAAAUCCUUUUAUUACUUUGUUUUCCCCUGCUAUUCUUCAAUAUGGGCAUCUGUUGACAUCUUUCGCCAAACAGUGGAUUCAAACACAUUGUGGCAACAGUAUAUUGACGUGAGACCAUGCAGAAAAUGCUACUUUCUCUCAACCUUCUGGAUCAGCAUUCAGCAGCGUAGCAGCCUCAUGACACAGUUGAAGCCUUUAUCGAAUUCUUUGCGUGCAUGUACCCUGGAUCAAGCAGCACUUGCAUUAUACAGGAGAUUCCACCCAAAAUCUAAACCAUGAGUCCCAGCUGAAGAGGAAUAUUUCCAAAAUGAGGUCUACACACACAGAGGUUACUUUCCCCUUCAUUAUAGAGAUACAGAGAGAGGGAGAGAGAGAUGGGGGGGGGGGGGGAGUGAGUUAUAGCCACGAACCUGAAUAGCUUAGCUGUAGAACUGAAAUGCCCAUUCAUGUCACUUGCCAUUUUGAUGAAUUACAGGGUUUACAAACAUACAUGUAGGCCUACAUUUUUACCCUUUGGGUAAAAGAUCUUGGUAUUUGCGUUUAUUUGUUAUUACUAUUUAUGACGUAGACCUGUUUCAUAAUGCUUAUGUAGUAGAUCAGUCUCGUGCUCACCCCCACCCCCUUCGUAUCGAAAUGUCAAUUCCUAAAACCUGUGGCAAAUUAUAUAAAUUGGUAAUAGAGAAAAAUUGAGUGAGGUAAAUGCAAUACAAAUCUAUUCCAAUCUUAAGCACUUAAGACUUGUUAAGGUAUGGCACGUGAACCGCCAAAAAAUUAAAAAAAUUGUGUCUUGAAAUAAAUGGGAAAGUAGUCCUGCAGCUCAUCAUAGUGACGUACAUUAACGAUUCAGCCAAUUUAAAAUGCCCAUAGGUUUAGUGAUCACAGCUUUCAACAAUCCAUAACCACCUUAUUUUGUGUCAGAUUUAAUGUGGUAUUUUUUAAAAGUAUAGUUGUCUGUUAAGGUUGGAUUUCUCUUUAAAAGUGUAAAGGGUAAGCCCUAUGUAACAUAAUGUGAUGAGGCAAUUUUCGUUAUAAAACCAAAUCAAAGUGCCGCGGAACAAAUUAUUUUGUUCACCUGUUAAGAAUAAUUGUAUUUCAAUAGUCAGAAUGCGAAAUGCAAACAUGUGUUGUUAGGUAGGGCAACACAUAAUGUAUUCAAUUUGCAUUCUGACUAUUUAAAUACAUUUAUUGGUAAAAGGUGAAUUUAAUAAUUGGUAAUGAGGCACUUAACGAGGACCUAUUCAUUAAAUUUGAUAAUUACAAUACGACAAUGGCCUACAUGUAUUCAUAUA